rnacentral:rRNA from 1 species
CCACGUAGGGAGCAAGCGUUGUCCGGAUUUAUUGGGCGUAAAGAGCUCGUAGGCGGUUUUGUAAGUCGGAUGUGAAAACUCAGGGCUCAACCCUGAGACGCCAUCCGAUACUGCAAUGACUAGAGUCCGGUAGGGGAGCAUGGAAUUCCUGGUGUAGCGGUGGAAUGCGCAGAUAUCAGGAGGAACACCAGUGGCGAAGGCGGUGCUCUGGGCCGGUACUGACGCUGAGGAGCGAAAGCAUGGGGAGCAAACAGGAUUAGAAACCCCAGUAGUCC